UACGUAGGGGGCAAGCGUUGUCCGGAUUUAUUGGGCGUAAAGAGCGUGUAGGCGGCCAGGUAGGUCGGUUGUGAAAACUCGAGGCUCAACCUCGAGAUGUCGACCGAAACCAUCUGGCUAGAGUCCGGAAGAGGAGAAUGGAAUUCCCGGUGUAGCGGUGAAAUGCGCAGAUAUCGGGAAGAACACCCGUGGCGAAGGCGGCUCUCUGGGACGGUACUGACGCUGAGACGCGAAAGCGUGGGGAGCGAACAGG
rnacentral:rRNA from 1 species